AAUGUACUCCCUCCAUCCCAAAAUUCUUGUCUUAGAUUUGUCUAGAUACGGAUGUAUCAAGUCACAUUUUAGUAUUAGAUACAUCUGUAUCUAGACAAAUCUAAGACAAGAAAUUUGGGACAGAGGGAGUANGUA
rnacentral:pre_miRNA from 1 species